rnacentral:snRNA from 1 species
UUGCUUCAGCAGCACAUAUACUAAAAUUGGAAUGAUAAAGAGAAGAUUAGUAUGGCCUCUGCACAAGGAUGACAUGCAAAUUCGUGAAGUGUUCCAUAUUUUU